rnacentral:rRNA from 1 species
CUCAGUAACACGUGGACAAUCUGCCCUCAGGUGGGGGAUAAUCUCGGGAAACUGAGAAUAAUACCCCAUAGGCCCCGUAUGCUGGAACGCUUCGGGGUUCAAAGCUCCGGCGCCUGAGGAUGAGUCUGCGGCUCAUCAGGUUGUAGUGAGUGUAACGGACUCACUAGCCGACAACGAGUACGGGCCUUGGAAGAGGUUGCCCGGAGAUGGACUCUGAGACACGAGUCCAGGCCCUACGGGGCGCAGCAGGCGCGAAAACUUCGCAAUGUGGGAAACCACGACGAGGGAAUUCCGAGUGCUCAUGGAAUUCCAUGGGCUGUUUUUAUGCCUAAAAAGCAUGGAGAGUAAGGGCUGGGUAAGACGGGUGCCAGCCGCCGCGGUAAUACCCGCAGCUCGAGUGGUGAUCGGUUUUAUUGGGCCUAAAGCGUCCGUAGCCUGCUCAGUAAAUCCUUGGGUAAAUCGGGCAGCUUAACUGUCCGACUUCUGGGGAGACUGCUGAGCUUGGGACUGGGAGAGGUAGGAGGUACUCCGGGGGUAGAGGUGAAAUUCUGUAAUCCUUGGGGGACCCCCAGUGGCGAAGGCGUCCUACUUGAACGGGUCCGACGGUGAGGGACGAAGCCCUGGGGCACAAACCGGAUUAGAUACCCGGGUAGUCCAGGGUGUAAACGCUGCGGGCUUGGUGUUGGGGGUCCUACGUGGGCGUCCAGUGCCGGAGAGAAGUUGUUAAGCCCGCCGCCUGGGGAGUACGGUCGCAAGACUGAAACUAAAG